UAGGGAAUCUUCCGCAAUGGGCGAAAGCCUGACGGAGCAACGCCGCGUGAGUGAUGAAGGUCUUCGGAUUGUAAAACUCUGUUAUUAGGGAAGAACAAACGUGUAAGUAACUGUGCACGUCUUGACGGUACCUAAUCAGAAAGCCACGGCUAACUACGUGCCAGCAGCCGCGGUAAUACGUAGGUGGCAAGCGUUAUCCUGAAUUAUUGGGCGUAAAGCGCGCGUAGGCGGUUUUUUAAGUCUGAUGUGAAAGCCCACGGCUCAACCGUGGAGGGUCAUUGGAAACUGGAAAACUUGAGUGCAGAAGAGGAAAGUGGAAUUCCAUGUGUAGCGGUGAAAUGCGCAGAGAUAUGGAGGAACACCAGUGGCGAAGGCGACUUUCUGGUCUGUAACUGACGCUGAUGUGCGAAAGCGUGGGGAUCAAACA
rnacentral:rRNA from 1 species